rnacentral:rRNA from 1 species
CACGGUGGAUGCCCUGGCAGUCAGAGGCGAUGAAGGGCGUGCUAAUCUGCGAUAAGCGCCGGUAAGGUGAUAUGAACCGUUAUAACCGGCGAUACCCGAAUGGGGAAACCCAGUGUGACUCGUCACACUAUCAUUAACUGAAUCCAUAGGUUAAUGAGGCGAACCGGGGGAACUGAAACAUCUAAGUACCCCGAGGAAAAGAAAUCAACCGAGAUUCCCCCAGUAGCGGCGAGCGAACGGGGAGGAGCCCAGAGCCUGAAUCAGCAUGUGUGUUAGUGGAAGCGUCUGGAAAGGCGCGCGAUACAGGGUGACAGCCCCGUACACAAAAGCGCAUGUGCUGUGAGCUCGAUGAGUAGGGCGGGACACGUGGUAUCCUGUCUGAAUAUGGGGGGACCAUCCUCCAAGGCUAAAUACUCCUGACUGACCGAUAGUGAACCAGUACCGUGAGGGAAAGGCGAAAAGAACCCCGGCGAGGGGAGUGAAAAAGAACCUGAAACCGUGUACGUACAAGCAGUGGGAGCCCCACCACCAAAGCAUUUGCUGUACCGCGUUGACGGAGCGAAGCGACGUCAAACCGAUAAAACAGCAGUGUAAAGUGAGCCGCAGGGCGCUUUGCGCGACAGCGCAAAGGCAGGCGGUUUCGCGUAGCGAAAGCGAAUGCUUUGGGGUGGGGUGACUGCGUACCUUUUGUAUAAUGGGUCAGCGACUUAUAUUCUGUAGCAAGGUUAACCGAAUAGGGGAGCCGGAGGGAAACCGAGUCUUAAUUGGGCGUUAAGUUGCAGGGUAUAGACCCGAAACCCGGUGAUCUAGCCAUGGGCAGGUUGAAGGUUGGGUAACACUAACUGGAGGACCGAACCGACUAAUGUUGAAAAAUUAGCGGAUGACCUGUGGCUGGGGGUGAAAGGCCAAUCAAACCGGGAGAUAGCUGGUUCUCCCCGAAAGCUAUUUAGGUAGCGCCUCGUGAAUUCAUCUCCGGGGGUAGAGCACUGUUUCGGCUAGGGGGCCAUCCCGGCUUACCAACCCGAUGCAAACUGCGAAUACCGGAGAAUGUUAUCACGGGAGACACACGGCGGGUGCUAACGUCCGUCGUGAAGAGGGAAACAACCCAGACCGCCAGCUAAGGUCCCAAAGUCAUGGUUAAGUGGGAAACGAUGUGGGAAGGCCCAGACAGCCAGGAUGUUGGCUUAGAAGCAGCCAUCAUUUAAAGAAAGCGUAAUAGCUCACUGGUCGAGUCGGCCUGCGCGGAAGAUGUAACGGGGCUAAACCAUGCACCGAAGCUGCGGCAGCGACACUGUGUGUUGUUGGGUAGGGGAGCGUUCUGUAAGCCUGUGAAGGUGUGUCGUGAGGCAUGCUGGAGGUAUCAGAAGUGCGAAUGCUGACAUAAGUAACGAUAAAGCGGGUGAAAAGCCCGCUCGCCGGAAGACCAAGGGUUCCUGUCCAACGUUAAUCGGGGCAGGGUGAGUCGACCCCUAAGGCGAGGCCGAAAGGCGUAGUCGAUGGGAAACGGGUUAAUAUUCCCGUACUUGGUGUUACUGCGAAGGGGGGACGGAGAAGGCUAUGUUGGCCGGG